UCGGAAGACCCUUUCAUAAUCUGAAAAUGAAGUUUUGUUUUAAUAAUUUUUUGACAAUAUUUUGGUCUCAAAGCAAAAUGUAUAAAUUCAGUGUAAGACUGAAGUUUCUAGGGACAACAUCAAAAGACCAAUGUGCAUGAUAAAGCAAAAAUGGAAUUCACAUAGUUAAGCCUGUGGCUGCUGUUUUUUUUUUUUAAACUCAUGAUCAAGUUCAUAACAAAAUUACUAGAUUACAAAAGGAAUGCAACACUAACAGAAUACAGAAGGGCAAUCAAUGAACAAAAGACAAAUAAAUAAGAAACAUUGAUCCCGAAAAAUCAGGGCUAUAAGUCUGAGGGAAAACAGAACUUUCUUCUUGCAAGGCCGUGAACACAAUUUGAUAUGGAGACA
rnacentral:lncRNA from 1 species